rnacentral:misc_RNA from 1 species
UUUCCGUAGGUGAACCUGCGGAAGGAUCAUUAUUGUAUAACCGAGGUGCGAGGGCUGUCGCUGACCCGAAAGGUCGUGCACGCACGAGUGCCAUCACACACAUCCAUCUCACCCCUAUGUGCACCACCGCGUGGGUCCCCCUUUGGCUUGUUCAGAGGGGGGCUUACGUUUUCACACAAACUUUGUAUGCAGUGUAGAAUGUAUUUUUUGUUUUUGCGAUCACGCAAUCAAUACAACUUUCAACAACGGAUCUCUUGGCUCUC